rnacentral:misc_RNA from 1 species
UCGAAGCCUAGAAAGCACGACCGCGAAUGYGUCUAAAACAACGGGUGCGCCGAGCAGCCUUCUGGCUUCCCGGCGCNNNNUCGCUCGGCUGGCGAGGAGACUUGCACUCAUCGCCAUCCAAAACUAACGAANCCCGGCGCGGACAGCGCCAAGGAAUCAAAAAGAGAAGUGCUCGGCCCUUNGCCCCGUUAAUUGGGUUGCAGGGCCUUGUCAUUUCAUGAAAAUAUCACAACGACUCUCGGCAACGGAUAUCUCGGCUCUCGCAUCGAUGAAGAACGUAGCAAAAUGCGAUACUUGGUGUGAAUUGCAGAAUCCCGUGAAUCAUCGAGUCUUUGAACGCAAGUUGCGCCCGAAGCCUUUAGGCUGAGGGCACGUCUGCCUGGGCGUCAUGCACUGUGAUGCCCCCCAUGCAAGCAUGCGGGGCAAAUCUUGGCCUCCCGUGUCAACUCGCGGAUGGCUUAAAAAGGAGCCAUGAGAUGGAAAAACGUCGCGACGAGUGGUGGUCAAAAGGCCGUUGGCUUGAAACAUAGCGUGUCGCGGCGUCUUGCCUCCCUCACUCGGAAAAGACCCCGUAGGAGCUUUUUAGCGCCUCAAGCUUC